rnacentral:piRNA from 1 species
UCCCAUUCCACUAACACAUUAUCAGAAAGCA